rnacentral:rRNA from 1 species
UGCAAGUCGAACGAUGAAGCCAGCUUGCUGGUGGAUUAGUGGCGAACGGGUGAGUAACACGUGGGUGAUCUGCCCCAAACUUUGGGAUAAGCCUGGGAAACUGGGUCUAAUACCGAAUAUGACCACUGGAUGCAUGUCUGGUGGUGGAAAGCUCCGGCGGUUUGGGAUGGGCCCGCGGCCUAUCAGCUUGUUGGUGGGGUAAUGGCCUACCAAGGCGACGACGGGUAGCCGGCCUGAGAGGGCGACCGGCCACACUGGGACUGAGACACGGCCCAGACUCCUACGGGAGGCAGCAGUGGGGAAUAUUGCACAAUGGGCGCAAGCCUGAUGCAGCGACGCCGCGUGAGGGAUGACGGCCUUCGGGUUGUAAACCUCUUUCACCAGGGACGAAGCGAAAGUGACGGUACCUGGAGAAGAAGCACCGGCCAACUACGUGCCAGCAGCCGCGGUAAUACGUAGGGUGCGAGCGUUGUCCGGAAUUACUGGGCGUAAAGAGUUCGUAGGCGGUUUGUCGCGUCGUUCGUGAAAACUUGGGGCUUAACUCCAAGCGUGCGGGCGAUACGGGCAGACUUGAGUACUACAGGGGAGACUGGAAUUCCUGGUGUAGCGGUGAAAUGCGCAGAUAUCAGGAGGAACACCGGUGGCGAAGGCGGGUCUCUGGGUAGUAACUGACGCUGAGGAACGAAAGCGUGGGUAGCGAACAGGAUUAGAUACCCUGGUAGUCCACGCCGUAAACGGUGGGUACUAGGUGUGGGUUCCUUUUCACGGGAUCCGUGCCGUAGCUAACGCAUUAAGUACCCCGCCUGGGGAGUACGGCCGCAAGGCUAAAACUCAAGGAAUUGACGGGGGC